rnacentral:rRNA from 1 species
GAUGAACGCUGGCGGCGUGCUUAACACAUGCAAGUCGAACGAAGCACUACUUUUGGAAGGUCUUAGCUUGCUAGGAGCGGACAUGUGUAGUGACUGAGUGGCGGACGGGUGAGUAACGCGUGAGUAACCUACCUUAUACAGGGGGAUAACAGUUGGAAACGACUGCUAAUACCGCAUAAGCACACAAAACCGCAUGGUAUAGUGUGAAAAACUCCGGUGGUAUAAGAUGGACUCGCGUCUGAUUAGCUAGUUGGUGAGGUAAUGGCUCACCAAGGCGACGAUCAGUAGCCGACCUGAGAGGGUGACCGGCCACAUUGGGACUGAGACACGGCCCAAACUCCUACGGGAGGCAGCAGUGGGGAAUAUUGCACAAUGGGGGAAACCCUGAUGCAGCGACGCCGCGUGAAGGAUGAAGUAUUUCGGUAUGUAAACUUCUAUCAGCAGGGAAGAAAAUGACGGUACCUGACUAAGAAGCCCCGGCUAAUUACGUGCCAGCCGCCGCCGUAAAAC